rnacentral:lncRNA from 1 species
UUACAGUGCUGACAGUCCGGAGGGCAAAAGCAGCAUUCAGCAGAGGGUCUAACAUGCUAGUGAGUGCUUUAGAGAAAAACCAAGGAGGAGAAGACACCCUUAUUUUCUUUACAUGUAUGUAUGUAUGUACGUAUGUAUGUAUGUAUGUAUGUAUGUAUUUAACUACUGUGUGUGUAUGUGUGUGUUUAAGGGGGAGGUCACAAAGUGUGUGCUGUGAGUGUGUAGAGGUCAGAGAACAAUAUGAAUUUCUUUCCUUCUACUACCUGGGUUCUAGGAUCUUCCUCAGACUUGAAGGCCAAAUGCUGAGCCAUCUUACUCCCUCUUUUAAUUUGAGUUGGGCAUUUAAGGGUGGGAAUCCCCGAGGUAGGUUCUUAUGGAGACAAAAGGACAGGCAGAGGGAAAGCCACACAGAUCUCUGGGAAAGGAGUCUUGGGGUCAGUGCCAAGGUCAGGAGGCAGGAUGAUAUCUGGUCAAGACUGGUCCCCUGGAGCAGAAUCAAGAAAGCAGAGACAAGGACAGAUGAGAAAAAACAGUAGGAAUGAAGGCUUAGAGGAGGAGGGAUUGGAGGAGGGCAAUCGUGUUUCUUAUUUAAUUGUACUGGGCUCUCUAUUCCUCCCAACAACCACAGAAUCUUCACGGGGCAAGAGCACCAGCCCUCACUCCCCUUUCAGUGGACUCUCAGUGGUUGGUUGCAGGGUGGCCUCCGUUUCCCACAAAGGCAAUGCUGGGACCUGAACAGCCUGCUGGUACGUGCCUUCCCACCUGGUACCUUCUUUUGGAGAGGCACUUCUAAGUUGAAAGGUGGGUGUUUCUUCUAAUUCUAACAGAUACUGCAAAAUUUCUCCCUUGAAAGGUUGCUGCUGAAUUGGGGAUCAACUUCUGUUUGUGAGCUCAGCUGCCUGCCUCUGCUUCUAGAUUGCUAACUAGCCAGUCUGUGCUGAGGGAUGUUCUGAGGGACGGCUCAGAAUCCUUCAUCUGCGGGAAGGUGUGUGUGGUCUUUCGAAGCAUGCUGCUGGGGAUGACAUGGCUUGUUCAUUUUUGGAGCUUGUAUUUACUGACUGUGACGUCAGGACAGUGAGGAAGAGGGAAACACAGCUGUUGCCGUGUUGUCUGCAUUACGGCUAAUGUUCCAUGUGCUUAAAAUAAGCACAGCAGUGAGGAAGUUCAUGGAGACACAUUCGCACCUUGUCAGAUACUGAAUCAUGUUCCUGGAGUGUCUUCAGGGUAAGGCUGCCUUGCAGCAUCCUGACUGGAGGGCCUGUGAAUGCUGAGCGCCUGCUGACUCCUUCCCCACCCCUGGGUGUUGCAGAACCAGCUCUUGUAGACUUUUCAUCUGUUUGAUGUCCUCCUGUGGCUGUUUUCCAUCUGUUGCAGUUCAAACAAUGAUUAAUCUUGCACAUGAGUCCUUUCGCACAUGCACCAGGUUACGUGUUGGGUCAAUUUCUAGGAGAUGAGUAGACUAAACUGAAAGUGAUUUUCUGGUUAUAUGCUGAUAGACAUGACUAAAUUGACCUUCAGAGAGGUGUCCCUAUUGGCAGCUGGUACAAAUGAUUAUCAUCUCCCUACACUACAUAAAACUUGGGAGGCCGUCCAUCAUUAUAAUGUUUGUCAAUCUGAUAAGUGAGAUGCCUGCUGUGUGUCAUUUCAUUUUGCAUUGGUUCUGUAUGUCCUUUUCCAAUGUCCCAAGCAAUAUAGGGGCUGAGGGUAUACCUCAGUGGUCGAAUGCUUGUUGAGCAUGCAUGAAGCCUUGGGUUCUACCCUUAUAUUCCCCAAAUAACAACAACAAAACAUUUUAAAAUCUGUUUCUGUUUUCUAGUGUGAGCUGCCAAGUCUUUGUUAUCCCCCCCCUCCCCCCCCGUUAAUGUUCUCUUUCUGACUCCUUGAAGAAUGGCUUGCUAAUGUUAGAGGGGUAUUCGACAGUGUGAUCAUGAACGCUGGCUUGUCUGACAAGAAGUCAGUAGCUAGGAGUGAAAGUCUGGUUGUUUGAGAAAAUGAGACCUGGUAAACUGUAGGUCUGAAGUAUGCUUCUGUAUAGUGUAGACUAAUCAUCAGAGAGGCUAAAAGCAGACAGAGUAGGGAACUGUUGGCCUCUGGAUCCAUGUACCUGGGUUUGUCUUUCACAGAGUCUCAUUUUUUAUGCCUUUACCGGCUUGAGGAAGUGUGAGGAAGCCUGACUGUUUUCUAUGAAAAUCCUUUUCUUGUUUGAUUGGAUUCAUAAUUACACUUUGUUUUCUGGCAACCACUCCUGUUGAGUUAAUGGGUUAGGCCAGGUGACACAAUGGCUUUAGUGAAUGAUCCUUAACUUCAGGAACAAAACAUGAUAAGAGAGUGGAUGCCACCUUCUUAACACCAUUUAUUCUUACUAGAGUAGAUGCUCCUGGCGGGGCAUUCUUCAAGCAUCUAGUGGAGGAUGCAGGCUCCUGCUGUCCGGAGAUCUGCCCUGUCUAGGUCUCUAGUACACUUAGGGUCCUUGUCUGUAGGAAGGAAAAGAGAGAGGUGGUCUCUCUCUCUCUCUCUCUCUCUCUCUCUCUGUGUGUGUGUGUGUGUAUGUGUGUGUGUACAGUCAUAGCUCCAUAGCCCCCAGGCCAGGACCAUGAUCCACCUGCCAGAGGAGUGGAGUCCACUGUUGUGUCUGGCCAUCAGUCUUGACCCCAGGCACACAGUCUGCCCUGGUGUUUUAGUGUCUAUGUGGCACUUAGAAAUUUUUUAGUGUCUCUUCCAGUAUGGUUGCACUAUGCCCUCACAGUUCUGCACAGAGGUAACAUAAGUGCUUUCAACUCUAUUUGGAACCCUGGAGACAGAUGUCUGGGAGACACUUAUCCUAUGGGAAGCUCGAUGCUUAACUACCCACACCAGCUUAGUGGCCAAGCAUUCUCACUGACUGGCCUUUUCUGGUAUGACAGUCAGUGGCCAUCCACUUUAGGUCUGCCUGGACAGACAGGCUCUGUUGAUGGUGAGUGAGGGAGAACUGGGCUGCCUACGGAUGGGAAACUGUAGGCUGGCUGGAGCAUAUUUCCUAUCCUUGAGGGAGACAAGAGUGGAACUAGUCUCGUGUCCUUUACAAAGAGCAGCCAAAUGGUGGAAGGUGACAGAGUUACUACUGGUGGGAAGGCUUGGCCAACUUGUCCUAUCACGGUGUGACAGAACAGCUUGAAACCUGGCAUCUUUGUGGGGAGCUGGUCCCCUCAUCCAUACUUGGUCAUCCUUCUUUUCUUGUCAUUUAUGUGGGGUACUAGCACUGAAAUCGGGGCUUUUCCUUCACACUCUUGUUUCUCUUUAUUUUGUUAUUUUUUGAGACAUCUCAUGCUGCAAGAGUUCAGCUGUGGUGUCUCAUCGGUUCUAUUUUGAGCCACAGGGAAGCAAAUUUAGGGUGUUUUCAUCUCUUCUCUGAGGGGAUGGUGCUCCCAGGGGUCCACUGGAUGGACAGUGUGAGACAGCUUAGGCACUCUUUGGAUGCCUACCUUUCUGAUGAAGGAGCACACUUCUUGUUUUCCCUGUGUGAAUUAGCCUGGCCAAAUCCUGUCAAGACAGAGCGAUGGAUGGUAUCAUGAGUGUUAUGGGCUAUUAUGAUAGCAAGAUGGCACCAGGCAUGUCAUGACCCAUGUUCUGGGGCUAAAUAGUGGCACUGGUAAUCAAAUGUCUGUCCAACUUAGCUUUCUUUUUGUACAAGAGAAAUGACAUAGUUCCCGCUGCUCUCACAGGAUGCUUAUGAAGAUUACAUGAGAUAAUGUGUAUAAAAGUGCAGUAUAAAUGGAAAUUCAAUUCAAGGUAUUAUUAUAUUAAUAGUAAUGAUUGUCAUCUGUGAUCCCAAUGACUCACUUGGGGUGGGAGUCCUUGGAGCUUGUCAUGGCCACUGUUACCUUUCAGCUACAAUUACCAUGCGCAAUUUCAUUUGACAUACUCCUCAUCAUAUGAUGCCAGAAUGGGAAUGGGUCUUGGGGUGAACGAAUUGUAGCCUGUUGCUUUAUAGAUGGGGAGCUGCUACCCAGCAGAGGGAGAUUGGUUAAGGCCUUUAGACAAGGUUUGAGGCUGUCAGCUCUCAGUAGUGGGCUGUUUUGUUUUCAGAUUACAUUGUCCUAUCUUUACUAAAGGUCUAGAAAUUGAAAACUUUGGGUAGAAUGUUUAUCCUUUGUCACUUGAUGGAGUUGCAGCCUGACUCAUGAGGUUCUGGAGAAAGGUGUGGAUUGUGCCCAGGAGAGAAGCUCAGAUGCUGAGAAUACUGGGCCAUAGGAUCU